rnacentral:rRNA from 1 species
UACGGAGGGUGCGAGCGUUAUCCGGAAUCACUGGGUUUAAAGGGUGCGUAGGCGGCUCGGUAAGUCAGUUGUGAAAGCCCCUUGCUUAACGAGGGAGGUGCGAUUGAUACUGUCGAGCUUGAAUCGGGAUGAGGCAGGGGGAAUGUGGCAUGUAGCGGUGAAAUGCAGAGAUAUGCCAUAGAACACCGAUUGAGAAGGCAGCCUGCUGGGCCUGUAUUGACGCUGAGGCACGAAAGCGUGGGGAGCAAACAGG